rnacentral:rRNA from 1 species
CCCUUAGAUGUUCUGGGCUGCACACGCGCUACACUGAAGGGAUCAGCGUGUUCUUUUCCUGGUCCGAAAGGAUCGGGUAACCCGCUGAACCCCCUUCGUGGUAGGGAUCGGAGCUUGCAAUUAUUCUCCGUGAACCAGGAAUUCCCAGUAAGCGCAAGUCAUAAGCUUGCGUUGAUUACGUCCCUGCCCUUUGUACACACCGCCCGUCGCUACUACCGAUUGGACGUUUUAGUGAGGAUUUUGGACUGAGCCAAUGGUGGUUCACACCACUGUUGUGCAUGGAAAGAUCUCCAAACUUGAGCGUUUAGAGGAAGGUGAAGUCGUAACA